rnacentral:lncRNA from 1 species
UUGAAGCAAGUUGCUCCCAGUUGACUUUUGAGAUCUGUCGUGUUUGCCUGCAGCUUGGCCAGGAAGCAAAAAGUAAGCCUCGUUGUUCUCGUGCAUUGAAGUAUACUACUAUAUUGUUAGAACAUCUAAUGAUCAGCAAAUUCUUAAUGACAAGAGCUUCUUUUAUCUGUCCACCCCCUAUUAAGUCUGCCUCUCCUAUUGUAGAGAUGAGCCUUAAAGGUAGAGGUUGAGAGUUGGUCAGGAAAAGGCAAAUAAGAAUGGAAGAGGAGAAACUAGACCUUCCCAAUGAGAUAUGACAGAACAGCUUUGUUGUCAGGAGCUUCAUGGGCUGAUGCUACUGGAGCGGGAAGAGGCCUUGAAGACAACUUGGGUACAGUUUCCUCUCUAUGUUUCAGAAGACAAAACAAAACUAAGAGAUACAGUCAUUUUUGCAAAUUCAAAUUGAUUAAAUGCUUGAGGAUUAUUAACCUAAAAAUAAUCGUGACAGUCAUUUUAAGGGGAGAGGCACAGAGAUGAUCACAUCCCAAUCAAGUCCAUCAAGAGGAAUGUGGUCCAGUAGGGCAGAAGAGAGGUGAUCAAAUAACUC